AUCGCUUCUCGGCCUAAUGGCUAAGAUCAAGUGUAGUAUCUGUUCUUGAUUUUAGUCCAUUUGGGCGAGCUAGAGAUCCUAACUAGUAUAAAAGAAGGUCUACAGACCUUCUGAGAGUUUUGUGAGUUUUACCUUGCCCCUUCCACGGGUUGCAAGGUUGAGUGUUAUAAAAGUCUACUGGCUUUUAGUGAAUAUUGAGU